rnacentral:lncRNA from 1 species
UAGAUGUUGUGCAAGAAAAAUAAAGGAAAGAAAAGAAAUGGAUAGAGAGAAGAAACAAAUCUCUCAGACUGGGUCAAAAGGGAUACCAUCACCUGCCAUGUUCCACAUCCUAAUUUAUUGGCGCCUCACCAGAAUGGGUUUGUCCUUCUUUUUGCAGCUUCUAUAGUUCACCGUCAUCCCCAAUUCCCCAUCGCUGACCCCGUCUCUUGGUCGGUUCUAGAGAGGCAGCCAUGGAGAGCCUGCACCGAUGAGGAUGCGGAUCGGUGGCCGAAGGGAGACCCAGCACCGAAGAGGAUGCGAAUCGACGGGUGGAGGGAGAGCCCGCCCCGACGAGGAUGCGGAUCAGCGGGCGGAGGGAGAGCUCUUCUUGAAGAGGUGAGUCACCUUCCCGUCGGGGAGGCACGUCCGCGGGAGCACACUAUGGCACCCAAGGUAGACGGGGUUGGCAGAGCC